rnacentral:rRNA from 1 species
AGAAUCAACGCUGGCGGCGUGCCUAACACAUGCAAGUCGAACGAGAAAGUGGAGCAAUCCACGAGUAAAGUGGCGCACGGGUGAGUAACACGUGACUAACCUACCCUUGAGUGGGGGAUAACCUAGGGAAACCUGGGCUAAUACCGCAUAAUACCUUCGGGUCAAAGGAGCAAUUCGCUUAAGGAGGGGGUCGCGGCCGAUUAGUUAGUUGGCGGGGUAAUGGCCCACCAAGACUGUGAUCGGUAUCCGGCCUGAGAGGGCGCACGGACACACUGGAACUGAAACACGGUCCAGACUCCUACGGGAGGCAGCAGUGGGGAAUUUUGCGCAAUGGGGGAAACCCUGACGCAGCAACGCCGCGUGGAGGAUGAAGCCCCUUGGGGCGUAAACUCCUUUCGAUCGGGACGAUUAUGACGGUACCGGAAGAAGAAGCCCCGGCUAACUUCGUGCCAGCAGCCGC